AUAGUACUCCCUCCGUCCGAAAAUACUUGUCAUCAAAAUAGAUAAAAGGGGAUGUAUCUAAAACUAAGAUAUGUCUACAUACAUCCCGUUUUAUUCAUUUUGAUGACAAGUAUUUCCGGACGGAGGGAGUACUAG
rfam:Triticum aestivum genome assembly, contig: Triticum_aestivum_CS42_TGACv1_scaffold_049891_1BS